GGAGUACUUUGCAGUUACAUUUUGAUCGUCACUCAAGAAGACUGGCUGGUGUACUUACCUUGUUUGGCUGUGAGGAUCAUAAUGCUGGAAUAUAUAUUGCUGAUUUGCUACUGAAUAUAAGGACCUUUACAAGAAUACCCUUCAUACCAUCACAGUGCUUGCGUGUUGCUUGGAGCCAGCCGAGAUCUCAGGCUUUCAUUAAUUGAUGUGGCCUGUGGACAAGUUCGGAAUUCAACGAUUAAGUAGUAGCGGAUCUAUGCAAAGGUUAGUAAACCCUCUGCUGAAAUUCACGAUCGCUUUAGCUAUGAUAGGUUGUAUUCAAAGUGGAAUUGUCAAACUCUUAUUACCUCAUGAGACCAAGGUUAGAGAACUUGUUGCUUUCUUGAUAUGUUGGCAGUCUAGCUUUUGAGCACGCUCAUAAUCUCUGAAUUCAUUGCCAUGCUGAAUUAAAUAACACAAGUGAGUUUUCAGCUGAUACAUAUAGUCGCAAGGUAGAGAACACUUGUUACUAGGUGAUUGAUGAACAUUGAUUGAGCAAAAAGACUUCAGCUUGCUAAUUUUUUAUUCAUAGAACCUGCUGAGUUGAGUAUGGUGAAGGUGAUUUUAUUCUCUUCUUGAUUUGGAGUAUUUUUUCUAUCCCACCAAUGCCAAAAAUAGAGCAGAUUCCAUGAGCCUUGAUUAUUGCAAUUUGAAUAUUUUUAGUGCGUAUUGUUAAGUUUGAUGUUCCUCUAGUCUGAAGUCUUUCAAAGCCAGUCAUUCUCUUCGCGUAACUUUACACUUCCUAGCCUCUUCACUCGGCAUUGCAUUCCUUCAUAAGGAUAUCAUGAACAUUGCCGAUGUACAUAUACAAAUCCCGGAAAUUAAACCAUUGUCUUCCAUUUCUGCACACCAUACCUACCUUAUAGUGCAUCAUUCCGCACUGGGUAUUCCAUAGUAGUUGAUUAUUCCAUGAGCACAGUCCUCAAAGUUCGAGAAUGCUCUAAAGCGCUUUAUUGCCAUCAACCCUACAAAAUUCAUUGUUAUGAAGAUCUAUAUUCAUCAGCAUUGGUUCCUCUCUUGAAUACAAAUGGAAAAAAAAAGAAAUAAAGAAAAAGAGAGAUGAGCACCAUGCAAAAGAUCAAAGGGUUCAUUCUCAAGCAGGACAAAAUAGCCAGCAGAGCUUCCAUAUUCAUGUGCAGAUUAAUCAAACUACUACCUAUGCAUAUCGAUAAUGGGAACAUCACUCACAUCCUGGGAUCACCUUACAUUACAUAGGCCUCUCAAUUCAUUUCUUUAGUGUGACUCCAUUCCCUCCCACAUACCCUGAUACUACUUUUUCCAAUGACAGACUUCUUUGUACCGGAGUUGAACUCUUAUUUAGCUUUACAAUCUAGAUUUCAGAUUUGCUAUUUUUUUUGAAUUACUUUACCAAGCUCCAGAUAAGCUUUCCACAAAUAUGAAGUAGAUAGGGAAUACUUGGGCUACUGGCCAGUGAGGACUAUAAUUAUGUGAUGAGAGUAAUCCCAGAUCAUGGCGAGGUAAUUUCACUAGAUACCUGCUCUUGGAAGAUUCACAAAGGAAUAAAAUUAUUGGCUACUCAUGUUUCCUUUUGUUCUUGACAUUGAAGUCAAACAACCAAGUGAUUAGUGUUCAUAAACUUUUAUAGCUAUAUUGUUGAUGCUGGUUACUCUCAAAAAAUGAAAUAUAUUCCCUUCUGGCAAUGAAUAAGAGUAGUUAUUUAAGUGCGUCUCAGUCGCUAGCUUGCUACUUUGAUAAGUUUGUGGGAAGUAUCUCUGUCUGAAGCUCAUGAGGAUUAUAGUAAUUGUUUGCACAUGAGCACUUGUUUGCAAUCUAGCUAUGCUAAGCUUUCAGAUAUUUCACAAGCACGUGGGCAAGUCGAAUCAGGAGCCUAAAUCAUCUGGCCGCGAUCGGAGACUCUUUUUCUCGAGGGAAGAAUCAGAAAGGGAGAAGCCUGAGAUGAAUCAUGCCUUUUGUUACUCUUUGUAGCCACUUUCUCCCUGAUAAUGCUAUAAGGAAGAGAGAAUGGUUUUUCACACCUAGUUCUAUUUUCCUUGUAGCUUCAACCUGUAGCAGGUUUCGAUGAGUGGUACGAGAAGAGGCCAAAAAACUCCAUUUGUUUUCUCAGUGUGGACAUGUAUAUUCAGUGAAAUGAAAUGCAGUUCUUUGCAAUAGUAUCUUC